CCCGUCAGCAAACAAAACCGACACCUCUAGGCAAACAAAUCCGACAAAAACUAGGUCUCCUCUCUGCGACAGAAGGACAGUCUCUGUUGUGUUUGUUGUGCUCGCGGUGUGUCUGCGCAUCUCUCACCUGCUGCUCCUCCAGACACUUCUUCACUUUCAGAUCUGCUGGAAAGACUUUCUUUAUUGUAACGCUGCUCUCUUGUGACACACUGGAAUAUGAACCAUCAGCAUCAGCAGCGCAGCAGGUGAGUGAUCUUAUGAUUUUCUCUUGCCUUAUAAACCUCAAUCUUUACUGUAAUGGUGCACAUGAUGAGAAGAAGCUCAGUAAAUACAGAAAUGUAAUGUUGUUUUGUACCUUUUUAACUGAGCUACAAGUAUAAACGCAUUCAUUAUUUAAUUUUGCUUUAGAAAGUCAGUGUAAGACAGAUGCUUCUUAAAGACAGAUGUACAUUAAUGAUGAUGAACAGUUUGUCCUACUACAUGUUUGUUCUGCUACACAUAGCUGUAUGUUUUCUGUCUUUAUUUAUCUCUUUAAACUACAGAAUAAAGGAUGUCGAAAGCAGAGUUCUGGCACAUGUGGACAGACAUUUGCUUUAAUAACAGAAAUCUGGUCAUGGACAGUAAAUAAACACAUUUCUUUGUGUGAGCUGGUGUGGCUGAGUGGUCAGAGUUCAUGGCAUAAGACCUCAACCCAAUGCAGGAGACAUGGGUUCAAAUCCCCACUCUGCUGCAAAUGUAAAUGGAGAAUCCUGUUUUUUCCCCAUUUUGCAGCCAAAAAAAAAAAAAAAAUUCAAAAAGCUUUCUCUUUUUUUUUGGUUUCUCUUCCUUUCUCAGGUCCGCCUCUCUCAUCUCCCCCUCUCUAUGGCCUGCCUCUCUCAUCCCCACCUCAGCCUUCAUCUCUUGGCCAUCUUACCGCCCCAGGUAAGAGCACUGCGUCAUGGUUCAGAGGUUGCUGGAUCUCUGUAAUGUGUGUGAAAGAAGGUCUGCAUCCCCCCUGAGUCCCAGAGCGAUGUCCAGCAGCGGUUAUGCUUUCCAGCCUGAAAAAAAACAAACAAACAAAAAAAACAUUUGGUUUAAACACCUGUUUAAUUUUUUUCCUUCCUCACCUACUUAGGUUACCAUCAUUUGCAAAGGAGUGACCUAUCAAAAAGAAAAAAAAAUGGUAACCUAUACACUAACUAGUAAACAGCACACAUUAAGCAUUACCUGUCCAUGAGCAGAUGUCCAUCAUUACAGCGAAUGUCUGUCCGCAUGUCCCAGAGCUCUGCUUCUGUUAACUGGGUGCUCAAACACAUCUAUAGGGUAAAGACAUACACAAUUAACCUCAUCUGUGAAGCCUUGGGUAAAAAAUCUGGGUGUUAUCUUUGAUGUCUAAAAUUUGACAAACAGAUAAAUUCAGUGGUUAAAUCCUGUUUCUUUCAGCUUUGACUACUAGCGAAGGUUAAACCCAUUCUAUCUAGUAGAAAUUUCGAAAAAGUAAUUCAUGCUUUUAAUACAUCUAGACUGGACUGCUGCAAUACGCUGUAUGUAUGUAGGGAUUAGUCAGUCAGCCCUAUCUCGCUUACAGAUAGUUCAAAAUGCAGCUGCUAGGCUUUUAACGUGCUCCAAAAAACGAGAGCAUAUUACACCGGUUUUACGUUCUCUACACUGGCUACCCGUGCGCUAUCGAGUUAAUUUUAAAAUUCUUCUUUUAGUGUUUAAAUCAUUAAACAGUCUGGCCCCUACCUAUCUUUCUGACUUAUUGACUGAACAUCAGCCCCUCUUGUCUCUUCGGUCGUCCAACCAGAGAUUGUUAUGCAUCCCUAAGUUGAGGCUGAAAUGCAGGGGUGACUGCGCUUUCUCGGUAGCUGCCCCUAGAUUGUGGAAUGCCUUGCCCCUCUGUAUUAGAUCUGCACCUUCACUAUCUGAAAAAAACAAACAAACAUUUGUUUUAACCAGCUGUUUAAUUUUUUCCCUUCCUCACCUACAUAGGUUACCAUCAUUUGCUUUUUAAAGGAGUAACCCAUCAAAAAGAAAAUGAUGGUAACCUAUACAUUAACUAGUAAUGUCAACAUAGCUUUAAAAACUUAAAUCUAUGUUGAAAACUUACCUUUUUGCCGUUUUGUAACUGAGAAUUUUCUACUUUAUGUUUUAUAGUAUUAUUUUGUUUUGUCUUAUUCAAAUGUUUUUAUUGUUGUUGUUCAGCACAUUGGUCAAUACAUGGUUGUGUUUAAUAGUGCUAUAUAAAUAAAAUUAUGGAUAAACUAUCUCAUGAUUCAUAAACCUUGUGCACUACAAAGAUAAAAGAGUAAUUCUUCAUAACCAUCAUAUAGAAAUAAAUGUUAAAUAAAUGUAUAAACACACUGCACAGCCUGUGUAGAAUCUUAAUUUAUAGUAAGAUAUAAAAAUGUGUACAUUUUCCUAAAGCUGUACAGUGUUGAAGAAAUAUAUCCAUCUGAGUAUUUAACUGUUCUUCUGUAAUGCUGUCUCAAUAAAAAUAUCUGAAUAUUUGUACUCACAUGCUGUGGAAGUCCAUCUUAUGGACUUCUACCUGUCUUUGUGUUUCAGUUUCUGGUUAAUAUACUGCAGGAGACUUGGAAAAAACAAAAUGUUUUGUUAUAUAGACAGGAACGUGGAACUGUCCAAAUCUACAGUUCAAUCUUUCUGCAUUGAAUCAUCUAGUUACUUGACACCACUGUAAAGUUAAUACACUUAAGAAAGAACAAAUUAUGUAGCAGCAAGGACACAUUCAAACAGAUUUCUGUCAUUUACUGAAUUUUAAGAAUAAGUUAAAAAGCACCUAGUCUAUCUCUUGUGAUAGCAAAAUGACAAGAAUGUGCAAUAUUUUACUGAUAAAUAAAAAAAUAAAAAAAAGAUUUUAGGGGAAACAUAAUUACAAAAGUAGGCGCUUUUAACACCCAUGAUUAUUAAAAAUAUAAUAAUUUUUGAGAAAAGCGCCAUGAAAAAUAUAUAAUUGUAAAUUGUGGCCCUCUUGUGGCUGAAGCAUAAAACUACAAGUUAGGGUAAUUUACACCCAUUAAGCCCAUGUGCCCUUUAAGCCGACUUUAAACUCUGAAGUCAUAUUAAACAUUGUAUGCUGGUUAUUAUUUAAACUAAUCCAGUAUUUUGUUACUUCCUUGACAUUUUUUUUAUUACAUCAAUCACAUUUGCCAGUGUUGAGUUUAGGGCUGCACGAUAAAUCACAUGCGAUGAUCAUGUGCAUCUGGUUAGUAAAGCCGGUUCUGUGAUUAGUAGUAAAUCUCCAUCAAGUGCGUUCAGAUGGAGAGCCAUUUACUACAUAGAGCCAUAGAUCACGAACACAAAAUCGCGUUCACAAUCGAUUCGCAGGCAUCUGCGAUUAUGAAUGCAUUGUUGUUUUUUAGGGCAGUGUUACAAAUGUUGCUCCGCCCCAUAACUACUCUCAUUAGCUCAGUUGAGUUGGUGAAGGCCUGCUGCAGUAUAACAAAACCUUAACUCUUUCCCGGCCAGCAUUUUUGAAAAAAGUUGCCAGCCACCGCCAGCGAUUUUGAUGAUUUUUACUAAAAUUGUUGGCCUAAAGUAUAUUUUGCUGUAUGAAUAUGCAAUACACUAAAAUAAAGAUCAAAGCCUAUACUUUUAAACAAAAAAAAUCAGUUUUAUUCUAGCUUGAAGCAUUCUUUUUUUAUCAACACUUGAAUACAGGUAGGUUUUAUACAUUUUUUUAAUUUUGAGCAAAGUACGAUUAUCAAAGCAUAAAUCCAGUAAGUUGCUUCCAUCAACACCUCCAAAGCUUACACAGCCAUAUACUUCCUGGAUCAUCAUUUUACUCCAUAACAUUAUGCAGUUUUCAUUUAUAUGUGGUCUAUUGCUGAUGAUCGCAUUAUUUUUAAUAUGCAUCUGUUCACAUAAGAAAGCGCUCGUUUCAUUUUAUCAAAGUAUAAUUAAAAUGUUACGUUUUACUUCCCUAUCGUCUACUAGUACUUACGCAAACGUUGAUCACACUACAAACAAUACAAAACUAUAAUGCUAUAAGAAACAGAAAACAUUAAUUCAUUGUUUACCUGGUUAUUCAGUCCAUGAUUAGCUCACCUCACCUCCUAUCUGACAAGUCUUCGGGUUUGAGUCGUUCUUUCAUCACGUGACAGCCCCAUAAGCUUUAACCUAUGCAGUCUGAGCCGGAAGAGAAUCGAUUAGUUCAUCUAUCGAAUCUUCGGGUUUGAGUCGUUCCUUCAUCACGUGACAGCCCCAUAAGCUUUAACCAUAGACUGUAUAAAAGUCUUUAACCUAUCGUUCGUUCUUUUGGCACGUGACAGCAUUGGAUAGAGAAAUUAACUUACAAGCUUCCUUACAAACGGUUUCAUAGUUAUUAUCAUCAUCAUCAUCAUCAUCAUCAUCAUCAUCAUGAUUAUUUACUCUUAUUGUUACUGCGUUUCUGGUCUCAAAUUGUAGCUUUUUACUUCUUACAGUUUAUAAAUGUGUGAAUUUCUGUCAUGAUGGUUAUUUUCCAUACACUGUAACAAAGGUAAUAAAGAGUUGGUUAUUGUUAUUCUUAAGUCUCUUUCCGACUAAGACUGCUUAGGUUAAAGCUUAUGGGUCUGUCACGUGAUUAACGAAUGACUCGAGAGAUGAACUAAUCAACUCUCUUUCCGGCUCAGACUGCAUUGAUUGAAACAGGUGAACUACUAGUACCAGUACUGAACCUAUAGAAUACUGCGCAUGCGCGACUGAACGAAUCACUCCCCGAGACGACUCGUUCUUCCCGAGUCACAUUAAGAUACGUUCAAAAUGAACGAAUCGUUCAAGAACGACCCAUCACAAAUGACAGACUCUUAAUGUCACUCAAUUAGAGCCACUGCGGCGCAGUGACAGUGAGGGCGGAUAUCGUUCAGUCGUGAUGCCACACAUGAAUCUGUUGUGUUUCUUCUGCUUGAAGAUGGUAAAAAUACGUCUAAUUAUCAAACUUAAGUCCAAACCACUGAGAAUACAUAUAAUAACAUGCUUAAAGUGUACUGAAUUGAUUAGCGUCAUUAAGGUCACCUGUAAAACAAC
ensembl:lncRNA